GUUUCCUCAAGAUUAUUACAAACACUUCGAUUGCUAUAUAUAAAACUAAUAUUCCUUCAAAUAUCUUUUAUUCCUCAAAUAUUGUUCAAUCAGCGUUUUAACGUCGAUUCAGUCUUUUUGAAGAGAUCUGUUCAACUAGUGCCUUGAUAAAUCUAUUGCAUGAAAAUCGCAGCGAGAGUAAACAAUAAAUAAUAAUAUUCCACAUGGACUAAUUGAAUUUCAUUUCAUUUUUAUUUGCCUUGUGCGCACUUUCAACAAAAUAUCGAGAGAGCACGAAAUAACUUCAAUUAAAUUCAAAGAUUCAAAAUUAUAUCCCAUAGAAUGAAAUACGCAUCGUUUUCUAAUUGAAAAUUAACAUUUAUUUUUGGAAAAGUUUGGAAAACGAAUGAAGAGCGAUGAACAAAGUAUAUUUUUCUAUCUAUAAGAUAUAUUUUUCGUCCGUUACUAACUACAUUUCAUACGAAAAAUGAAGAAAGAAGUGAUGAUAAGACAGGAGCAAAGUAAAUUAUUUUCUUCGUCCUCCCUCUCUUUCUCUCUCUCUCAUUAUCUAUUUUUCAAUGAUAAUCGUCAAUGUCAUUCAAUAAAAAAGAAAAAAUAGAUAUGUACGUAUUAUCGAUAAAUAUGUCACAUAUAUGUUACUCAUAAUGAGUUACAUAUAGUUACUCAUAAUGAGUAUCAAGUAAAUAGAAAAAAAACCUAUUUUAAAAGUUUCUUUUGGAUAUUUCAAAAAAUAGAAAGAUAUUCGUUUGCUAUCAUUUCAUGGAUAUGAACAUAUUGUAAAAUGAUUUAGACAAGUGCGUAAUAAUAGCUCAUAUCAUUUUAACUUUGGAUACUUUCAUUCAUUAGUUUUGAAUAAAAUUUGUACAAUAUAUAAUCCACCAUUCUCCAAGGGGAAUAAUAAGUAUAUUUUGAUUGUUUAUUAAUAAUGAAUCAUAAUCUCGGUAGUAAUUGAAAUCAAAUAUUUCCGUCACAGGUUGGAUAUUCAAGAAAAAACUUUCUAUGCUGGAUCUACUUAUAAUUGCAUCUCUUAAUGGUAAUCAAAUCAAUGAGAAAUAAAUUCGAGAAGAAAUCGAAAUACAAUCAUGAUUGACGUAAGUUGUAAUAUAUUAAUUUGUUUCGAAUAAUAUCUAAGAAAUAAAAAGAGAAAAUAAUUUUGUUAAAAAAAAAAAUCUUCAUAGAACAACGACAUUACGGGAAAUCGUAUUGUACUUUGUUUUAAAUUUCCUAACAAAAUUCAAAGAAGUUCAGAUGACAUUUUCAAUCCAAAACGAUUGAUCAAGAGAUUCAUUUCAUAACUAUAAUAAAUAAUUAACGAUCUAUUAAUAUAUAGAAAAAUAUAAGAAACGAAGUGAACAUAGUUAUGCGACAAAAAGAUAAUAAUUCGACAAUCUCGGUUCUAAAAAUAUUUUCAUACCUCCAAAUAUCUAUCAAAGUAUCAUUUUGUUUAUAUCCAAACAUUUCUCUUACAUUUCAUCAAAUUUUUCAAUAUUUUCAGCUGAUCAUAUGAUAUGUAUUAACAUAUCGAAUGAAUUUUCGUUUGAUCAUUUAAAACAAAUAUUUAAUCAUAUAUCAAUAUUUUAAAAAUUAUUUAGUCCCAUUCUAUUUUAUAUAUAAUAUAAAUAUCUACGGCAUACGAAGAAAUCCAUAAUACUGGCCAAAUUCCGAUGUUUUUCUUUUCGAUAAAUUCUCAUCGAAAAACGUGUAACAGAUGUGGAAAAGAAAAUAUUUUUUACUCAUAUAUCUCCUUUAGAACAAGAUUAAUAAAUCAUUUCGAAGAAUAUUACAUAUAGAAAUAAAAAAAAAAUAUAAAUCAUAGGACGAAGAUCUGAAAUGUUUAAAUUUGAAUUAAUGUUAGUUUGCAUAUUGUACAACUUAUUACUUCAAUAUGAAGUAAACUAUGGAUGAAUUUAAUAGCGACAAAAUAAAAAUGAAUAUUAUUUUCUCUCUAUCUAGAUCAUUUAAUGUCAAGUUUAUACAUAUCCAUAAAAUAGACAUUUUUUUCACAAUAUCUAUUCGAUUUUCAUUGAAAAUUGUGUAAGAUAUCAAGUGCCAUUAGUUUAAGGUCAAACAUUGCGGAUUUUUAUGAAUCAAUAAAAAUAAAUAAAAUCAACGAUAUCGAUCUUUCUCUUAUUUUUGCAUGUAAUAUAGAACGAUAUCAAUUUGUUGAUUCUGCACUAAAUGGGAUGUAUGUGCAAGGAUUACGUCCUUCUACAAUUUUCGAUUAAAAUUUAUCGGAAUCGAAAACAUCAGAAUUUGGCCAAUAUUCUGGAUUUGUUCGUACACUGAAAAUAUUCACAUUAUAAAUCGAAUCGGCUGGGACUAAAUGAUUUUGAGAAAAAAUUAAUAUAUAAUUAAUUAUUUGAUUUAAAUGAUGAAACGAAAAAUCAUUCGAAAUGUAAAUACAUAUUACAUGAUAAUAUAACGAAAUAGAAGGAACGCUUAAAUUAACAACGAUGUGAUUCAUAGAUAUAUCUUUCCAAGUAUAAAAAUUUUUUUACAGUCGAGAUCGUUAAUUUAUCAUCUCGUUGAUGUAUAAACAUAUUUAUCUUGUCUUACGUAACUUCUUAUAAAUUAUUAGAUCAUUAGUUAUUCAUUAUAGAUACAAAACACAUCCAUUUCGAUCAAUCUUUUGGAUUGAAAACAUUAACUGUAUGUUUUUGUGUUUUGCAAAUAUACACAAAACAAAAUACAAUGCUAUUGCCGUACUAUCAUAAGUCUACGAAGAUUUUUUCCUACAUAUUAUUUUCUCAUUUUAAAUGUUAGAUCACUUAGAUCAUUAUUCGAAAUAAAUCAGUAUACUACAAUCUAAAUCAAAUAUGAAAAUAUUAACUUAUUCAUAAUUUCUUUUUUCAAAGAUUUGAUUAUUAUUCGAAGAUGUUAUUAUACAUAAGUAGAUCUAUCAUAGUAAUUUUCUUCUGUAUGGAAUCCGUAAAAAAAAAAAGAUCAAAUAUUUAUAUCAAUAUUAUUCAUUAUUAUUCAACAAUUAGUAUACAUUUAUCAUUAUCCUCGAGCCUUUCAAAAGAAAUAUUAUUCUCGUUGAACAGAUCAAUUUUUUCUGAAUAUUUCCGGAUAGUUUGUUCAUGGAAAUGUUUUCUGUUUUGCAAUUAUAUAAAAUAAGAGUAUAAUGAUACAAAAAUCCUAUAAAAUUUUACAAAAUUAAGAUCAAUAUAAUUUACACGUUUAAACGACGAACCUAUCUGUUUUAAAAAACCAUGCAUCAUUUUCAAUAGUUCCUUUUAUAUUCGAUCAAGUGACUUAUGACAAAUGAGAUUGUAUAUAUGACAUCAAAAAAGUAAAAAGAUCUCGAUAAUUUAAUAGAACGAUAAAUAUUUCCAUAGAACUAAUUUUUCAUAUUCUUCAUAUUCAAAUUUAUUUCUAAUAAGAAAAUGAUUAAUUAUCUAUAUACCAUGAUUUUCCCAAAAGUUAGAUCAAAGUUUCUGUUUUCUUUUCCUUCGUUUGAUCGAAAAUUUACAAUCGUUUAUAUUAUAUAAAUGAUAGCAUACAUAUGAUAAUAUAAUAUGAUAAUAUAAUAUGAUAAUAUUAUACUUUAAUAAUAAUAACUUUUACUUAGAACCAAUGAAUAAAAUCUUCGACGUUAAUGACUUAUUGAUGGGAGAUAUUAUUUUUCGUUUGCCUAAACUUCUACGUAACAAGUUUAUAUCCAUGAAAUAAUAGAAAAUCAUUAUCUUUUUACUUUUUUUUCUUUGAUAAAAAUCUAAAUAUCAGUUGAUGACUAAGAGAUAAAUUAUGUUCACAAAAUGAAACAAAACAAAUAAAUAUUUAAGAUUUUUUAUUUUGAUACAUUUAAAAAUACAAUUGUUAUAUCGAAACACUAAAUCUAAUAAUAAUGUUAUAUUACUAAUAUACUUAACUUGCUUUUAUUACAUAGAUAUUUUAUUACAUAGAUCGCCUAAUCAACAAGUAAUGCUUAUCAUUUUGUUAUUCAUUAAUGUUUUUGAAAAAUAAGUCACGGCAUAUAAAAGUUUAAAAAGUCCUGUAUUAGACUGUAAACGUUCGUUAAGUGACAGAAAAUUUUGUUGAAAGUAUCUAUGCUGACAAACGAUAAUAUUAAAAUCAUUUAAGAAAUUGAAAAUGUUAAUUGUUUAACGUAAUGCGUUUUUCAAUUGCGUACAAGCAAAUUAUUUUUCUCAAUCUGUUAGAUACACUUCACGAGUUCAUCAAUAUAUAAUAUUCUUUCAAUAUUAUCUCUUAUUCCUUGAAAAUUAUUCGUUCGACGUUAUCAUGAUCCAACGAGUUAAUGAGUUCUAUUUUACCAGUGCAUUAAAUCUUCUAUUACCGAAAAGCCAUAGUACAAGCAUAUAAUGUAACCACGAUUUAAUUACUUUUAUCGAUUUUCUUGUUACAUAUGUAUGUAUGUAAGACGUACAUAGACAUCAUCAUAAAAAAUGAAAAAAAAAGACAAUAAAAGAAGAGAGUAAGAGCAUGCAAGCAAUAUGAAUUAGUCUUGAUUAGAUAUUCGAAAUAACAAAAUGUAAUUUUUUUGCGUUAAUUGAGGUUAUAAAUUUCGUUUAUUAUACUUUGUAUUUAUGUUAAUAAAUA